rnacentral:lncRNA from 1 species
UUUGAAUUCUGUAUUUGCUAAUCCAUAGUAAAACACUCAAAACCUCUCUCACUAACACCUUCCCCUAUUCUCCCGUCAUCAUUCUUCUUUCUCUUAACAAAAAUCCUCUUACAAAAUUUUAGAUGUCCCAAUUAUUUAUUUUGAUUUCCAUUCAAAUAAUAAAUCAAAUAUUUUUAAAUGAUUCGCCAUUACAUUUUCCUUUCUAAUACAAUUCAAUUUUAUUUUUCAUUUUCAUUUCAAUCAUGAAUUAGACAUGCCUUC